rfam:Myotis davidii contig214331, whole genome shotgun sequence.
GGUGGUUCUCAGGUGAUGCACCCUGGAGUUGAGCUCCCUCCUCUCUGCUUCCUGGUGCAUCACCCGACAACCACA